GGGGGAAACCCUGACGCAGCAACGCCGCGUGGGUGAAGAAGGCCUUCGGGUCGUAAAGCCCUUUCGGACGGGACGAACGCUCCGCGGUGACAACCCGCGGAGUCUGACGGUACCGUAAGAAGAAGCACCGGCUAACUCCGUGCCAGCAGCCGCGGUAAUACGGAGGGUGCAAGCGUUGUUCGGAAUUACUGGGCGUAAAGCGCGUGUAGGCGGCCUUGCAAGCCAGACGUGAAAGUCCUCGGCUUAACCGGGGAAGUGCGUCUGGAACUGCUUGGCUUGAGUACGGGAGAGGGAGGCGGAAUUCCCAGUGUAGAGGUGAAAUUCGUAGAUAUUGGGAGGAACACCGGUGGCGAAAGCGGCCUCCUGGACCGAUACUGACGCUGAGACGCGAAAGCGUGGGGAGCAAACAGGAUUAGAUACCCUGGUAGUCCACGCGGUAAACGAUGGGCACUAGGUGUGGGGGGUAUCCACUCCUCCCGUGCCGAAGCUAACGCAUUAAGUGCCCCGCCUGGGGAG
rnacentral:rRNA from 1 species